AGGAAUUCGGCGAAGUUGGGCGGUCCGCUGCCCGCGACGUGGUGAGAAGUCCACUGAACCUUAUCAUUUAGAGGAAGGAGAAGUCGUAACAAGGUUUCCGUAGGUGAACCUGCGGAAGGAUCAUUG
rnacentral:rRNA from 1 species